GGGUCAGUAGCUCUAAUUGGUAGAGCGUGGGACUCCAAAUCCUAAGGUUGCAGGUUCGAGCCCUGCCUGGCCCGCCA
rnacentral:tRNA from 1 species